UACAGAGGGUGCGAGCGUUAAUCGGAAUUACUGGGCGUAAAGCGCGCGUAGGCGGCUUUGCAAGUCGGGUGUGAAAUCCCCAGGCUUAACCUGGGAACUGCAUUCGAGACUGCAUUGCUAGAGUAUGGGAGAGGGAAGUGGAAUUUCCGGUGUAGCGGUGAAAUGCGUAGAUAUCGGGAGGAACACCAGUGGCGAGGGCGACUACCUGGCCUGUUUCUUGACGCUGAGGCGCGAAAGCUAGGGGAGCAAACGGG
rnacentral:rRNA from 1 species